rnacentral:lncRNA from 1 species
UGAUGAUUGAUAGGAUUGUAUUUGAUGAAUCUUCCUGUUUGGCAGGAAAAUUAUGCAUGAAAUGAUGCAUGUGAUGCAUGUGGGAAUGCAGUUGGGUAAUUGGAUGUUUUUGUAGGGUUUUAUUCUGGAUUGCCAAUGAGGUUGGACUUGAAGGAUAUGUUACCAGACGAGAACUGGUGGAAAUAAUUGAAAUGCCAGAUGGGACUGAAUUUGUUUUUGUUUGUCAGA